AGGGAGGGAGCUGAGGAGCAACAUGCUUCUUAGAUACAUCAGCGGCUGUAACCACAGGGCUGAGGGGGCCUCCUUGCUCUGGAGGGGGUCUUCGUCCAUCCUUGGUGGGGGGGGGUGCCCAGCCCCUUUUCAGGCCUAAGAACAGUCUCUAAGAGGGUCAGGAGAACUGGGCAGCCGCUAGGACAGCGUACUACACCCCGGACAGGCAGGUGAGCCACAGGCUUGUCACAGACCACAUACACACACACGCACACACACGCGCACACACACACACACACACACAAAGAGUGCAAUUGAGAGCCUUGGGCCAGGACGCUAGAAGAUAGGGAUGUAGUUGUCGAUUUUGGCGCGGUGGCGCUGGGCGAUACAUUCAGCGAUCCACACGAUGUUGCGACACUCCUGCUCCUUGAGCUUCACGAAGGCAUAGAAGACACCAAAGUGGAACUGGUUCAGGAAGGCCAACUUGUUCAGCUUUACCUGUGGACACGGGCAGAUGUGGUGUCCAGGUGGCCAUGGCCACAGAGUCAGGUCUAAACCACCAGGUUGGCCUCCCUCUGACAAGCAGACCCUGCAGACUCACCUCGUGCUCAAAGAAUCGGUCCUCCAGCGUCUUGUCUCCAGGGUUGCUACCUGCACCCUCGAAGAGCAGCUUGUACUCCUGGCCAGGGGGGUGGGGGGAAGCACAAGCAUGAGGGUUCUGGGUGGGGGUGCUUGGUGACAACACAUCCAACCGCUGUCCUGCCAGCCGGGGCACUCACCGGGUAGUAAUCGGCCACGUUCUUGACCUGUUCAUAGUCGUCAGCCCGAGCCAGCUGCGCCAGGCCCUCAGGGUAGAGCCGCCCACAGUGUGGAAAGAGCUUGGCACGGUCCUCUUUGGACAGCUCUGUGCCGAAAGAAUUGAUGGUGAUGAUGAAGGCGCGGCGGUCUGCUUCAAACUG
rnacentral:lncRNA from 10 species